UAAAGAACAUAUCAACUAACUGAAACUAAGAAUGCUUAAAGCCACACUUACAGAUAGACAACCGUUACAUCGUUACUAAAAUCAAAGAAGGGACCUCGUAAUUUACUAAAACCUAGGAGUAAGAUCAACUUUUAUCCAGAUACCAUGUGCUCCAUUCUCAUAUUACUCCUUUUAUCUUUCCAAGAACAACAUAUACUACUUUCAAGAUGAUCUUGCUAAAUCAAUAGAGUCAACCACCCCAAAGAGGAAUUUCACAAUCCAACACUGUUCAACUUACAACAGUUGUUUUGAAGAAAUCUUCCACAUUCAGAAAUUAAGGCCACAUUUCAACAGACUCUUCCCCCAAUACACAAUGUCAAAUUUCUUCACUGCAGCAAUAUUAGCACAUUGAAAAAAA
rnacentral:misc_RNA from 1 species